UAUGGAACGGGCUCUCAGGACGCUGUUAUUACUCUUGUUAGUUCAGAAUUUCCACCUCCUGUGUUCCAAAUCCAGACUGUUGAGAGUACUGAGAGAAAACCAUCCAUCUCAGCACAGCCAAUACACUCAUAUAGGAAAGUUGAUGUGCGUUUUGAAGAGUUUAUAAAGUUC